rnacentral:lncRNA from 1 species
CGGUCAAAUAGGAAGCCAAUAGCCGCUUUAUGAGUAGGGAGGCUGUUUAUGUGGUGCUUUAGAAGCCAAACAUAAACAGUAGGGAUGUUUCCUGCAUAUCCAAAGAAACUUGCAUUCGCAAGAGCUGUGCAAUCCUUGUAGAACGGGCUAAAACACAAAUAGGGAAAUUAAAAUUAAUAUAGCCCAUGCAGGUUGCAAUAUAUUUGAUUUCUUAGACAUUUCAGAAGCGGUAGCACAGGAUCAAAAUGAAACAACAAAAAUUUAUCAUCGCAGCCGACCCAAGUUUACCAAAGAGUUGGCUUCAUAUGUCAUUGUUUAUUUUAAGGUUGAAAAGAUUUCAGAAAAUAUUACACAAUUAAAUACAAUGUGAUAAAUGGGUACUCAACUCUUAAAAACAUAUGCAUAUAUAAUGAGCUAAAUAUAACAUUAUUUUCUGCAUAUUGUUUACAUAAGCACAUCUUUAGUCUCUACAAGUACAGCUAUGUAGGUAUGUGUUUGUGUGCAUGUAUGCACGUUAUUUGUUUCUAGAAGUACAGUAAUGAAGGUAAGGGGUUUGUGUGUGAAUGUGCACACGUGUACAUGUCUGGAUAUGUGUGAGUAGAGAAAUACUAAUACAUUUCACAUGUAUAUGUCCAUACCCAUACCUACCAAACCUGCAUGGGCAAUGCACCACACAUCCACAGGCCUUCCUAAACAAAGAAAUGACAACUUCAGCAAGAUAUUUAACAUCAAAGGCACCUUAUUCACAACCAAUUGCAUUAAAUACUGGAUAACAUUCCAAAACAAUUCGCUAACAUUCAAAUGAAGCAUCAAAGAUUCAAAGUUAUAAAUAUUAGGAGGCAAUCAAACAAGUCAAAUAUGUGUAAGAGUGUACACAAGGACAAUCAACCCAUCCACGCAGAAAAUAACAAAAGCACGUGAUGUAGAAUCUGAAUUUUAAAACUUGAUAUCGUAAGGAAAAGUUUUCCAAUGAUGAAGUUUAACCAUAAAAAAACCCUGCNA